rnacentral:tRNA from 1 species
GUAGCGGUAAGUCUCAGUGGAAGAGCUCCCGACCAUUGAUCGGGGCGUCGUCGGUUCGAUCCCGGCCCGCACACCA